AAUUUAAUUUUUGAUUUUGAAAGAUUGUUUUUUUUUCUAUAAAUGAUGAUUAUUGACUUCUUGCCAAAGCCUUCAAGUGUUGACUUGUGAUUUAUUCAAACUUAAAAUACUUUCAAUAUAUUUCAAUUAUAAUAAUUAUUAAACUAUGCUCUGGUAUAGAGCAAGAUAAGUUAAACAAACAAAACGGAAGAGCCUUCAGAAAUGUGUUAUCAAAUCAAAUUUAAUAUUAAAUUUAUAUUUUUCAAACUCAUUGAAUAGCAAGUACCUUUGUUUACCUAUCGUUUAUGAAGGUUAGGUAGUAAAAAUAAAAAUAUGCAAUAACUACACCAAGAACAACAACAAAAACAACAAUUAUCAUCUUGUCUUCCUCCGCGGUAAACUUACCUAAAGCGUACACCGUACAUUUAAUGUGAGUAUGUACUUCUGUUUCACAUCAGGUGUGUGGGACUUGGUUAGGGUAUGGAGACUGUGCAGUGCACAAAACUAACUAUCACAGAGCAAUAAUUGCCCUACUUUCCGUCGUCGUCGUCGUAGAAGCAAGUAUUUCUGCUACUCAAAGUCAUAAGCUGCUACUGCAGCUCCAAAACCGUGCGGAGCAGUGUGGUAUAAAUGUGCUUGCAUCUAUGACCAGACCACGCAUCGCAUAGAAACAGGUAUCUAACUCUAGCCGCUUUAGUAUUAUAAAGUAUCUGGAAAUGCAAAGCCUGAUAUCUAAUAGAUACAAAUAUACUCGUAAGAAACGAAGAAACAUGAAUAUUAUGGUGAACCAGCAAUUUCGUGCGUCUUUAUACCAUGCCUGGUUAUAAGGAACUGGUUAUAGUCUUUAAGGAGUCGAGAGGAGUGCAAAAAUAUUUUCUUUAUGAUGGAAGAUGGAAAAAUCUAUAGGUACACAACAAAAACAACAACAUUGAUGAUGGAUAUACGAAGCACCUCAUCAGGAACAAAACAAAUUAUAUACUAGGUAUCUGUGUAUCUCAUUGUGGAAUAGAAAUAUAAUACGGAAAGAUAAAAUAUUAGAAACAAAAAAAAAAGAAAGAUAUUUUGGAUA